rnacentral:rRNA from 1 species
GUCAGCAGCCGCGGUAACACCGGCGGCCCGAGUGGUGAUCGUGAUUAUUGGGUCUAAAGGGUCCGUAGCCGGUUUGGUCAGUCCUCCGGGAAAUCUGAUAGCUCAACUAUUAGGCUUUCGGGGGAUACUGCCAGACUUGGAACCGGGAGAGGUAAGAGGUACUACAGGGGCAGGAGUGAAAUCUUGUAAUCCCUGUGGGACCACCUGUGGCGAAGGCGUCUUACCAGAACGGGUUCGACGGUGAGGGACGAAAGCUGGGGGCACGAACCGGAUUAGAUACCCGGGUAGUCCCAGCCGUAAACGAUGCUCGCUAGGUGUCAGGCAUGGCGCGACCGUGUCUGGUGCCGCAGGGAAGCCGUGAAGCGAGCCACCUGGGAAGUACGGCCGCAAGGCUGAAACUUAAAGGAAUUGGCGGGGGAGCACAACAACGGGUGGAAGCCUGCGGUUUAAUUGGACUCAACGCCGGACAACUCACCGGGGGCGACAGCAAUAUGUAGGCCAAGCUGAAGACUUUGCCUGAAUCGCUGAGGGGUGGUGCAUGG